rnacentral:sRNA from 1 species
UAGCGCAUUACGCGUUGCAGACAGGUGG